rnacentral:lncRNA from 10 species
GCGGAGAGCGGUCCCUGUUUUCCUGGAGAAAGACGAGUCGCAAGAUAUCAUCACCAGGGGAAACCAGGCUGAGCUGGAUCUUUACGUCGUCACCAGUGGGCGGGGAGACCAGCCUUGUACCCACUGGACAGCGGGCCCAUUCCGAGUCAGGGAAGCAGAAGGCCUGGAGGAGCUUCGGGGAGCAGGGGCUGGAGUUCCUCUGCCAGGCAGGAGGCUGACACCAGACACCGGGCAGAGGGAGGCGGCGCAUGGACGGCGAGGGCCCAGCAAGGAUUCUCCCCAGCCCCUGUGCCUGCGUCUCCUGCGGCUUCUGUGCGCGGACCGUGUCCUGUGCUGUGUAGGGAAAGCUGCUUCUCUGCUUGGGACGUGGAUUCCUUUACCCUCCUCCUCGCCUGACUACUUCUGACGCGGGUCGUCAGGACUCCGCUUGGGUGUCACCCGUCCAGGAAGCCUCCCUUAAUUAAGGGCCCUCGGCACCCACCCCAUAUGUGAUUAGCAGCCCUCCUGUGUAUUUCAUCGCACCUCGUUGUUUAUAUCAACUACUCCACUCACCACCCUUCUGGGCAGUCCUUUAUCUCCCCCUCUGAAAUCCGAUCGCUGAGGGCUGGGACCCUCAUCAGUACUUAUCCCCGUUUCUCUGCGCUAGUCUAAUUAGUGCCUGGCAAGUUGAAGGCGCUCAGUAAACGUUUGUGGAGCGAAGAAACGACGGAUAGGGCGUAAUGAGCACGACACACGCAAUCAGAGAGGACGCAGUUAGGAGGCUAUUGGCCCGGGGCAGGCGUGAAGGGGGA